CGUCCAUGUGUGGACUAUUCUCUGGUAAGAGUUCGUCCCGGAUGACGCUAAUAAAAACGCAUUGUGGUUCAGUUAUUUCUACACAGCGUGCGGCUCCCACGUUCCCAUACUGCGGCUGUCUGGAGGACCGACAUUUGGAACCCCCUUUCUGGCGGAAUAUUUAAUUUUAUGUUUUCCAUAUUAUAGUUAAAUUUUUGCAGAUCUAACCUCGCCAAGGGAGCGUUUGCGACCCCCAGAAUCAUGACCCUUCGAGAACAAAGCAUGUCUAGUCUUUCUUUAUCUGUAGAUACAGCCGUUCUCGAAGGUAAAUGUGAAAGAAUUUUUAAGACUGGCCUAUAAAUGAACGAUGACGAUUGAACGGCGUUUCCAGUGAUUUCCGUUUGACAUCACAUUUUUGCUUUCAAUGUAUAUGUACGUAAUAAGAAAAUUAUGACGUUGCAAGUUAAAAUUAUCGAAGUUAAAAUAUCCAGCGUAAUAUAUUAAUUAUAUUAGUGACAAUUCGUUAUCUUAAUUUUCUUCUUUCCGUUUUAAGUUCGUUUGCAGAUUUAAAUAGCAAUUAUUCAAUAGUUUCUUUUUUUUUUCUUCUAUAAAACUAAACUAGAUUAUCGUAAACUUAACGCAUGAACAGGGAAGGUUAUCAAACUUGGAUAAACAAUUACAUUUGCGCCGUUCUUGCCACGUGAAGAUGACUUGAAAUUAGAUUAUUUGUCGUGUACUAGCGAUACGACAAUUAUUAUAAGCAUAAUAAAUAAAAUUGUAUUUAUACUUUACUCGUACACGGAGUAUUCCUUCAUUAUUUUUUUUUUUUUUUUUUACAUGUUUAACAUCUAUAGCGCAGUAUUCCACCUCGCACAUCUAUGUACUCUCUCGCUUAUUUUCGCUUAUCUGGGUACACGUAUAUAUAUAUGUAUAUGUAUUUUUUUUUUUUUUGUUAGCAUUAUUGAAAAAUAAAAUAUACAUAUAUACAUGUGAAAUCUUAAAAUACAUGAGAAUAAGGCAAAAACGGCGCAGUGAUCAGAAUAAAAAGCGAACAUUACUACUUAGCCGAUAAUAUUCGAGGGCACAUAAUGCUCGAAUUUAAAUUCACACUCCGCUUGGUAGGGUACGCAUUUGUAAUACGCUAGCGUAUAUACGUGUUUCCUAUAUACGUAUAUACGUAUGUGUGCGUAUGCCGCGUCCUAUGUAUGUGUACGUAUACGCACGCAUACAUAUAUACAUUAUACAUAUAUAUAUAUAUAUAUAUCGAAUUGACCGUACUUUAUGCGCAAUUUAUACGUAUAGGAACUGACGAAUUCUUUCGAAAUAAUACGAAAGGACAUGGUAUACAAGUGGAGUGUGCUAUAAUUCCUAUACAUUCUUCAAAAGUACGUCAUUUCUCUUUCCCUCUCCCUCGCUCUUUCUCUCUUCCCCAUCUUCUUCUAAUGGUGAACGUUUUUUUUUUUUUCUUUUCUCUUCAAAUGUACACAAUAAAUUGGCUUAAAUUCGUAUAUAAAUAAUUACUCGUUCAAUUUAUAAGAAACACAUUGGUAAUGCUGUAUACGAAAUAAUUCGAUUGAUUUAAUGCGGUGUAAAUUUCUUUGAUCAGCGCAUCAAGCGUACAAAUGUACAGCAAUACAAAUGUUUCGGUUCGUUAUCGGCGCGUGUAUCGUUCGUGUGUAGGCUUUUGCUGACGCCAAGUGUUUUUUAACGUGCCUGUGAAUUCUCGCUUAGAUCGAUGUUUGAAUUGAAUCGCGCGAAUUAUGGAUUUCGAUGCGAACUACGCGCGUCGGAAUAACCGAGGAACGUAGAUGAGCAUUGAAGUUAACAAGAGGGGACUAGCGUUUGAAAAAUCGCAUUUUCGUUUCUCGAUUAACGAUGCCUUUUUCUUUUUUUCUUUCUUUUUUUAACCAACGCGUUGGUAACGUGUCUAUUACUGGAUACAUAGGUAUUCACAGAGCACAAAGAGUACUUGGCUAUAACAAACAUUUUAUUCAACUAUCAUUGUAUCAGAUAUAAACGAACAUUUUUAUCAUCGUUAAAAGUACUAAACCGAGCGGCCUAAAGGUACAUGUAUAAGUGUGAGCACGUGCUUUAUGUAUGUGUGUAUGUGUGUGUGUAUGUAUGUAAUGUGUGGAUGCAAAUACACGUGGUUUUUGCUUCGUAUAUCGUCUUAAUUACGAUAUCUUGUAUAGUAACGGACGAUCUUCCAAGUGGCAUAACAUGAUCUAAUCGUAUCUUUACGCGUUUACGAAUUUCCCGUGACCAUGGCGUUUGGUAGUAGCGUCAAUGAAACACGGUUAAUCAUAAAUCACAAGAUGGAAAAAAGGCAACAUACAAAUAUUUCAAUGGCACACGUACACCGGCCAAUAUGGACGGAGCACGUACUCUGAUCUGAUAGAUUAUUUCAUUCUGCCAUUCUACACAGCUUCGUUUCUAAACCAUUCGCAGUUAUACUACAGUCAACGAACACAUAAAUUAAUAUUUUUUUUUUUUCGUCUAUAGCCGUUCGACUUGAAUCA